rnacentral:tRNA from 1 species
GGUCCUGUAGUUCAAUGGAUAGAACGAAAGUUUCCUAAACUUUAGAUCCGAGUUCGAUUCUCGGCGGGAUCA